CCCUAUAGCUCAGCUGGUAGAGUAAUUGAUUUGUAAUCAAUAGGUCCGCGGUUCGUGACGUGUGUAACACGGAAAGAGGUUGAGCGAAGCGAACCCUUUGAAAAAGGGCUUGACCUCAAGUCCGUGAAUAGGAC
rnacentral:tRNA from 1 species